rnacentral:misc_RNA from 1 species
AAGACUAUAGACCUGCGGAGUACCUGCGGAAGGAUCAUUACCGAGUUAUCAACUCCCAAACCCCUGUGAACAUACCCGAACGUUGCCUCGGCGGGACCGCCCCGGCGCCCCUAGCGGCCCGGGACCAGGCGCCCGCCGGAGGACCCAAACUCUUGCUUUAAACAGUGGCAUACUCUCUGAGUCUCACAAACAAAAAAUAAAUCAAAACUUUCAACAAUGGAUCUCUAGAUCGGAAGAGCA